rnacentral:rRNA from 1 species
GACGAACGCUGGCGGCGUGCCUAACACAUGCAAGUGGAGCGACGAACCAGGCUUCGGCCUGGGGCAAGGCCGCGAACGGGUGAGUAACACGUGGGUAACCUGCCCUGAUGAUUGGGACAACCCGAGGAAACUCGGGCUAAUACCGAAUGUGCCCUCCGGCCUCAAGGCCGCUGGGGAAAGGAAGCUUCGGCCUCCGCAUCGGGAUGGGCCCGCGGCCCAUUAGCUUGUUGGUGAGGUAACGGCUCACCAAGGCGACGAUGGGUAGCUGGUCUGAGAGGACGAUCAGCCACACUGGGACUGAGACACGGCCCAGACUCCUACGGGAGGCAGCAGUGGGGAAUCUUGCGCAAUGCGCGAAAGCGUGACGCAGCAACGCCGCGUGGGGAAGAAGGCU